rnacentral:rRNA from 1 species
UGGGGAAUAUUGGACAAUGSSGGCAACCCUGAUCCAGCCAUGCCGCGUGUGUGAAGAAGGCCUUUUGGUUGUAAAGCACUUUAAGCAGUGAAGAAGACCUAACGGUUAAUACCCGUUAGCGAUGACAUUAGCUGCAGAAUAAGCACCGGCUAACUCUGUG